UUAAGCGACUAAGCGUACACGGUGGAUGCCCUGGCAGUCAGAGGCGAUGAAGGACGUGCUAAUCUGCGAUAAGCGUCGGUAAGGUGAUAUGAACCGUUAUAACCGGCGAUUUCCGAAUGGGGAAACCCAGUGUGUUUCGACACACUAUCAUUAACUGAAUCCAUAGGUUAAUGAGGCGAACCGGGGGAACUGAAACAUCUAAGUACCCCGAGGAAAAGAAAUCAACCGAGAUUCCCCCAGUAGCGGCGAGCGAACGGGGAGCAGCCCAGAGCCUGAAUCAGUGUGUGUGUUAGUGGAAGCGUCUGGAAAGGCGCGCGAUACAGGGUGACAGCCCCGUACACAAAAAUGCACAUACUGUGAGCUCGAUGAGUAGGGCGGGACACGUGGUAUCCUGUCUGAAUAUGGGGGGACCAUCCUCCAAGGCUAAAUACUCCUGACUGACCGAUAGUGAACCAGUACCGUGAGGGAAAGGCGAAAAGAACCCCGGCGAGGGGAGUGAAAAAGAACCUGAAACCGUGUACGUACAAGCAGUGGGAGCACGCUUAGGCGUGUGACUGCGUACCUUUUGUAUAAUGGGUCAGCGACUUAUAUUCUGUAGCAAGGUUAACCGAAUAGGGGAGCCGAAGGGAAACCGAGUCUUAACUGGGCGUUAAGUUGCAGGGUAUAGACCCGAAACCCGGUGAUCUAGCCAUGGGCAGGUUGAAGGUUGGGUAACACUAACUGGAGGACCGAACCGACUAAUGUUGAAAAAUUAGCGGAUGACUUGUGGCUGGGGGUGAAAGGCCAAUCAAACCGGGAGAUAGCUGGUUCUCCCCGAAAGCUAUUUAGGUAGCGCCUCGUGAAUUCAUCUCCGGGGGUAGAGCACUGUUUCGGCAAGGGGGUCAUCCCGACUUACCAACCCGAUGCAAACUGCGAAUACCGGAGAAUGUUAUCACGGGAGACACACGGCGGGUGCUAACGUCCGUCGUGAAGAGGGAAACAACCCAGACCGCCAGCUAAGGUCCCAAAGUCAUGGUUAAGUGGGAAACGAUGUGGGAAGGCCCAGACAGCCAGGAUGUUGGCUUAGAAGCAGCCAUCAUUUAAAGAAAGCGUAAUAGCUCACUGGUCGAGUCGGCCUGCGCGGAAGAUGUAACGGGGCUAAACCAUGCACCGAAGCUGCGGCAGCGACGCUGAUGCGUUGUUGGGUAGGGGAGCGUUCUGUAAGCCUGCGAAGGUGUGCUGUGAGGCAUGCUGGAGGUAUCAGAAGUGCGAAUGCUGACAUAAGUAACGAUAAAGCGGGUGAAAAGCCCGCUCGCCGGAAGACCAAGGGUUCCUGUCCAACGUUAAUCGGGGCAGGGUGAGUCGACCCCUAAGGCGAGGCCGAAAGGCGUAGUCGAUGGGAAACAGGUUAAUAUUCCUGUACUUGGUGUUACUGCGAAGGGGGGACGGAGAAGGCUAUGUUGGCCGGGCGACGGUUGUCCCGGUUUAAGCGUGUAGGCUGGUUUUCCAGGCAAAUCCGGAAAACUAAGGCUGAGGCGUGAUGACGAGGCACUACGGUGCUGAAGCAACAAAUGCCCUGCUUCCAGGAAAAGCCUCUAAGCAUCAGGUAACAUCAAAUCGUACCCCAAACCGACACAGGUGGUCAGGUAGAGAAUACCAAGGCGCUUGAGAGAACUCGGGUGAAGGAACUAGGCAAAAUGGUGCCGUAACUUCGGGAGAAGGCACGCUGAUAUGUAGGUGAAGUCCCUCGCGGAUGGAGCUGAAAUCAGUCGAAGAUACCAGCUGGCUGCAACUGUUUAUUAAAAACACAGCACUGUGCAAACACGAAAGUGGACGUAUACGGUGUGACGCCUGCCCGGUGCCGGAAGGUUAAUUGAUGGGGUCAGCGCAAGCGAAGCUCUUGAUCGAAGCCCCGGUAAACGGCGGCCGUAACUAUAACGGUCCUAAGGUAGCGAAAUUCCUUGUCGGGUAAGUUCCGACCUGCACGAAUGGCGUAAUGAUGGCCAGGCUGUCUCCACCCGAGACUCAGUGAAAUUGAACUCGCUGUGAAGAUGCAGUGUACCCGCGGCAAGACGGAAAGACCCCGUGAACCUUUACUAUAGCUUGACACUGAACAUUGAGCCUUGAUGUGUAGGAUAGGUGGGAGGCUUUGAAGUGUGGACGCCAGUCUGCAUGGAGCCGACCUUGAAAUACCACCCUUUAAUGUUUGAUGUUCUAACGUUGACCCGUGAUCCGGGUUGCGGACAGUGUCUGGUGGGUAGUUUGACUGGGGCGGUCUCCUCCUAAAGAGUAACGGAGGAGCACGAAGGUUGGCUAAUCCUGGUCGGACAUCAGGAGGUUAGUGCAAUGGCAUAAGCCAGCUUGACUGCGAGCGUGACGGCGCGAGCAGGUGCGAAAGCAGGUCAUAGUGAUCCGGUGGUUCUGAAUGGAAGGGCCAUCGCUCAACGGAUAAAAGGUACUCCGGGGAUAACAGGCUGAUACCGCCCAAGAGUUCAUAUCGACGGCGGUGUUUGGCACCUCGAUGUCGGCUCAUCACAUCCUGGGGCUGAAGUAGGUCCCAAGGGUAUGGCUGUUCGCCAUUUAAAGUGGUACGCGAGCUGGGUUUAGAACGUCGUGAGACAGUUCGGUCCCUAUCUGCCGUGGGCGCUGGAGAACUGAGGGGGGCUGCUCCUAGUACGAGAGGACCGGAGUGGACGCAUCACUGGUGUUCGGGUUGUCAUGCCAAUGGCACUGCCCGGUAGCUAAAUGCGGAAGAGAUAAGUGCUGAAAGCAUCUAAGCACGAAACUUGCCCCGAGAUGAGUUCUCCCUGACUCCUUGAGAGUCCUGAAGGAACGUUGAAGACGACGACGUUGAUAGGCCGGGUGUGUAAGCGCAGCGAUGCGUUGAGCUAACCGGUACUAAUGAACCGUGAGGCUUAACCUU
rnacentral:rRNA from 1 species